GACAGAGGAUGCAAGCGUUAUCCGGAAUGAUUGGGCGUAAAGCGUCUGUAGGUGGCUUUUCAAGUCCGCCGUCAAAUCCCAGGGCUCAACCCUGGACAGGCGGUGGAAACUGCCAAGCUGGAGUACGGUAGGGGCAGAGGGAAUUUCCGGUGGAGCGGUGAAAUGCGUAGAGAUCGGAAAGAACACCAACGGCGAAAGCAGCUCUCUGGGACGGUACUGACGCUGAGACGCGAAAGCGUGGGGAGCGAACAGG
rnacentral:rRNA from 1 species